GCAUCUGUAGUCCAACGGUUAGGAUAAUUGGCUUCAAAGCAAUAGAUCCGGGUUCGACCGCAAAUAUA
rnacentral:tRNA from 1 species